UACGGAGGGAGCUAGCGUUGUUCGGAAAUACUGGGCGUAAAGCGCACGUAGGCGGCGCAGCAAGUCAGGGGUGAAAUCCCGGGGCUCAACCCCGGAACUGCCCUUGAAACUGCAGUGCUAGAAUCUUGGAGAGGCGAGUGGAAUUCCGAGUGUAGAGGUGAAAUUCGUAGAUAUUCGGAAGAACACCAGUGGCGAAGGCGACUUACUGGACACAUAUUGACGCUGAGGUGCGAAAGCGUGGGGAGCAAACAGG
rnacentral:rRNA from 1 species